rnacentral:lncRNA from 1 species
GGGCCCUGCUCUUGCAGGGUAGGCUAGAUCCACGGCCGCUCAUGCGAGGAGGCCAGAUCUACGGCCGCUAGUGCGGCGGUUCCGGCAGCUGUGCUUCGAUUCCGGCCAUGGGCAAGACGGAUUAGGCGGCGGCGUGUCAGGUUCUGACCAGCAGCACGGCAGAUCCAGCUACGGCGACCCCCGUCCCCUCCCAACAGUGCAGGUGAGCACUCGUUUCCCUUCGAUCAGAUUUGCAUCCUCUGUACCAGACCUCAACGUCUCGCAUAGAUGGUAACUCACUACAGCAUGGCUGUUUAUAGAAGGCAUUUAAAAAUGCCUUUAAAAAUCAUCAAAAUGCCUUCAAAAACCUUUUUAGACAUACUUAGAAAUGCCUGCUAUAAAGUGGACUUAAAAGGUCGUUUGAGGCAUUUUUUCAAAACGUCUUCCAAUAUCAACAUAUAAAGGCAUUUUGUAGCUGCCUAUAAUAGUUUUUAAAGGCAUUAUGUAUAAGCCUUCAAACACUGAAAGAGGCAUUAUUAAAAAUGCCUCCAAAACCAACUCAUACAUGCUGAAAUUUGCUAGUAAUUAAUAUCAAAAUAGCACAAAUCCAUCGAGAAAUUAACCGAUGAAAGCAGAUAUUAACAGCACAAUCCAAUCAUUUAAAUCUUUCUGGCAUACAGAGUUAUAUUUGUACCAAACACAAUCAAUAAGGUAGAAAAAUAAUCAAAUAUCUAUCUUCAAAUGAUAUUCCCAAGUCCUUUUGUGUAGGUCCCCAAUCUUAAAUGAUGCAAAUGGAAGUAGUGCAACAAAAGAUGUAGAUAAAGAAGUAGAGGGAGAAAGCGUCCAUGAUUCAGAUAACCCAGAGCUGAUAUAUCUCUGAAUCAAGUUGAUUAAACGAGCACCAGCAUCAUCUGUUUUAUGACUGACAAAUAAUCAAGCUGUCUGCAAUGAAAACAAAAAGGUUAGUGCUAAAUUUUAAAGCUGAAAAUACAACUUAGUAACUCAGUAUUUAACUCAUCAUGAUUCUGAAAAAAUUAAUUAAGUAUGUGUGUGCUGAGCCUAGUAGAAAGCACAGUGUGAUUUGCUUACACACAAGCAGUGAAGUGUGCCUGCGAGGUUGUGACUGAGCUAUGAAAGCCAUAGUGAGGAAGCAAUUACCCCACAAGAGGCUCAGGCCAUCAAAAUACCAAGGUGCUUUCUAAGGGACAAUGUAAUAUAAGAAUUAUAAGAAGCUAUCUGUUCGAUCCAAACUAGUCCAAAAAAGAAGCUAUCUCUUACCUCAAAGCAACGUUAAAUCAUGGGAAUAAAAAAACAAUGGCUAGUCAGCGCAUGGGACAUGGAUUGAACUUCCAAAGGCUAUAAGUUGAGGUAAGAAAGCAAUGAAAUUUGAAGGCCUAAAAUACUUAAAAUGGCAGUGCCAGCAUCUAAAAAGCCGAAGGGUCUUCUUAUAAUCUUCUUCGGAUUUCAUCCUUCAAAAAAGUUAUGACCAAAUAAUUUUUUUAACCAUAAGUAAACUAAUAAACCAGUAGGAGGAAGAAAGCAACAUACAUUUUUUCAAAGCUUUAGUCAUCAAUUGGCUGCCCAUUUGUUCUGUAUGUGUUGCUAUAGAGCUCAGCACGGCUUAUCUGUCUUCCUUCCUUUAGUUCCUGUAUUAAGAACAAUAACACAUAAAGACAAUCAAUGAUUAUAUUUCAAUAAGAUAAUGGUAUACCGUAUACCAGCUGGUCUAAAACAACUACAUCCAAUGAAACUUGUUAAGUUAAAGAAAUUUAGCAUGUGAAUCCUAUAUACAACCUUAAACCUCUGUAUUGAAGUCAACACAUUGAUAGCAGCAACACAUGUUCACUUAACUACAGUAUAACAAAAUGAGCUUGAGGUGAACAAACUGGACAACAGCUAGUAUAUUGAAUGGAAUUAAAAUAUGGAACGAUUUUUGUUUCGGAACGAAACCAUUCCUCAAGAUCAAUAUUAGGAUGUAAAAUGUCCCCAGAGAAAACAACUGUAAAUUGAACUCGAUACAACAUCAGUAAUUCAGCAGUGGUGAAAGUAUGUCCAGACAUAGAUAUAGCAUUUUGCAGAGUGCAAAAGCAAGAUAACCAACAUGGUCACAUGGAACCAUGUUGACAUAAAAAAUAGCAUUGGUUUUGGAUAAAACUGUAAUUAAUUAGGAAGAGACGGAGACUUUUGGCACUAUUUUCUGAUAAGCAUAGCACUAGCAAGUACCAAUAACAAUAUUUAGAGAACACAUUUCUUCAUAAUUUCAUUAAGCCAAUUACUGGCCACUAUAAGAGAAUUAUGCACUCAGCUAUUUGUCCACCCACUGUCACUGCUAAUAUGAGGCCAAGCUAUUUCUCAAAAGCAUAAAACAUAUCCAAUUUAAAUAACCAGAGGAUCUGGUUAUCACAAGAUAAUCGAUGAGCUUAUGGAUCUGAUAAGCUCAGGCACAUAUUAGAUAGACUUGUCAAAACCUAUACAUUCUAUAUGGCACAGAAUCGAUCAUAUAUUGAUAUAUCGCUUUACCUCAUGGGAAGCUAAUGAAUAUCCUGAGCCAGUAUAUCUGCUACUGGGGAUAACUCAUCCUUUUCACAACCUCCAUGACAACUCAUUUAAGCAAUUUCUGUUUGCAACAUUAAAUAUCAGUAAAACCAUCACUUCCAGAAAAAUCAAGCAUGAAUCCUCAUCUCCUAUUUGCAAUUACAUUUUUUCAUUUUAGCUUUCUUCAAGGCUCCCACUGAUUCCAAUUGACUCAACAAUAAGCUUGUACCAAUAAAACAGGUCAAAACUCCAAACAAAUCAUGCUCUUCUAAAUUUAUGUGGUUAAGAAAAGUAGCUUGUAACAGUAAUCAAACCCAUGCCCUAGUGUCCAUCGCAGGAAUAAAAUUUGCAUUUACAGGAGGACCAACUGGAUCAUAGCAAUAGUAAUAAAGUUAAGCACAGUGAAAUUCUAGCUUGGUACAGAUAACUAGCACCAUUUAUUUUACACAGAUCAAAUCAAAUAGAAAAAAUUGAGAACACAUUUUAAAUCAAUCAAGAUCUCAAUAGAGGCUUCAAUUGAUUGGUGGCUAUGGGGAUAUACCUGGAUUAGUAGUUGUAGCAGGGGACAAUGAUGUUUGUGUACGAACUCAGGAUGCUUAUGGAGGAGCCCUUCAGGAUCUCGACCUCCUCGUCGAUGAGGACCUCCUCGCCAGUGAGCUCUCGAGGCCUCGCGGUCGCCUCAGGCCGUCGUGAUUCUGAAUCACGAGCUGUACCAGACGCUUUAGGCUGGGAUGUAGCAGCGGACCUCUUCGUCAGCGAGCUCGCGAGCCCUCGCAGCCUCCUUAUGCCGGGAUGUGGUGGAGGACUUCGUCGGCGAGCUGGCGAGCCCGUGCGUCCGCCUCAGGUUGGCGCAACUUCGCGUCGUGAGCUCUAGCGGCGGCCACCUCUGUCUCACACGAAUUUGGGUAAGGAUUCAACGAUUGGAUGUGGUGGAGGACCUCCUUGUUGGCGAGCAGGCGAGCCCGUGCGUCUGCCUCAGGUCAUCGCGAAUCUAAAUCAGGAACCCUAGCACCGGCCUCCUCUCUCUCGUGAAAUUGGGGGAAUGAUUUUUAGGCUUCCGAAUCGCUGUGGUGACUUCCGAGUAGCGGCAGCCACCUCCUUCCGUGCGUGAGUAUACUUCCGAUUCGCUGUGCUAUUUCCGUGCGUGAGUAAGCUUCCGGCCCAGAUAAUCUUCCGUGUGUGAUAACAAAAGCUAAAGGCCCAAAUGAUUAAGUGGAUCUAUAAACCAAAGUAAAUAGCAUAUGUGGACAACAAAGGCAUUUUAAAAAAUGCCUCCAAUACUACAUGUAAUUAAAGUCAUUUUAAAAAUGCCUCCAAAGCUUAGAUAAUUGAAGGCGUUUUUAAAAAAAUGCCUCUAAUACUUAGUUAAUUAAAGGUGUUUUUAUAUUAGCCUUUAAAAAAAUAGUUUCAAAGGCAUUUUCGUAAGAAUGCCUUUAGAUAAAAGAAAAUUAAGGCAAUUUAAGAAAAAUGCCUUUAUCAAAAUGCCUUUAAUUAAUAGACAUGUUGUAGUGACUAUAGCUUAUAAUCACCAGAUUUGAUAAUGAAUUAGAAACUGGAUGUUUGCGGCAGAGUCAACAUGUGGCAAAUAGUUGAACCACGGCACCAAUGUCUUAAGGAUAUUAAAUGUAAUCUUUUUGUUCUUGAUCGUGGAAAAAAACAGGCAUGAACAACUGCUCCACCAUGCCAACAACAGCCAUGCAUAGUCUUUACUGCCUUACUGGUGCAUCUCACUGCCUUACCAGGACUACAGUACAAAAACAGAUGUUACAUUUGUUUAUAAUUACUUGCAUCUCACUUGGAUUUAUGACAUGUUAAUUAAAUCUUUUCUGUCCAAUUAAAUGUCCUCAAUUAUAUGCAUCUCUGGUGGGCUUCAGUCGUUCAUUUUAGUGUAACCCAACCAUAUUAUUAUGCAGAUUACAGUUUUAAUACAUUAAUGCAAUUCCUGAUGCUUAGUUUUUAUGUUGAAUGCAGAAAAAAUGGUUUGUCACAGGAUUGUUAACUCCAUAGAGUGGUCAAAUGUUUCUGUUUAGGUUGGUCACUCUUGUUGGUUUUUCUACCACAAACUAGGAGCUAAAACCAUCAGUUUUAUAAUUUCAAACUUGGUGAGAUGCGGCAGUACAGGUUGCAGCUUGAAUAGCCAGUUAAUGCAUUCAGUCACCAUGCUGAGUUGUCCUUUGUAAUAUUGAGCUGUGGCGGUAUGGAUCUGCGGUGAUAUAUUUUUGUAACUCCUUGUAUUUUAACCUAUUUUGGUUAUGUUUCCUGCAUUGGUGUGUAUAGGAUAAAUUAAAUUAGGAGAUUUCAGAACACUAGUGAUAGAUAUGCAAAGAUUGGACAAACCAUAUGUGAGUUAAGCAAGAAUGCAGGUAUAUUAUUAUCAAUAAUUUUGAUAUCAGUUCUCCAA